rnacentral:rRNA from 1 species
UGAGGAUUAUUCCUCCUCGUGGUUCCGCUCAACGCGAGUGUUUUUUGCCGGAUUACCGGUAAGCAUUCACGGAGAGUUUGAUCCUGGCUCAGGACGAACGCUGGCGAUCUGCCCUUCACUCUGGGACAAGCCCUGGAAACGGGGUCUAAUACCGGAUAUGACACGGGGUCGCAUGAUCUCCGUGUGGAAAGCUCCGGCGGUGAAGGAUGAGCCCGCGGCCUAUCAGCUUGUUGGUGAGGUAGUGGCUCACCAAGGCGACGACGGGUAGCCGGCCUGAGAGGGCGACCGGCCACACUGGGACUGAGACACGGCCCAGACUCCUACGGGAGGCAGCAGUGGGGAAUAUUGCACAAUGGGCGAAAGCCUGAUGCAGCGACGCCGCGUGAGGGAUGACGGCCUUCGGGUUGUAAACCUCUUUCAGCAGGGAAGAAGCGAGAGUGACGGUACCUGCAGAAGAAGCGCCGGCUAACUACGUGCCAGCAGCCGCGGUAAUACGUAGGGCGCGAGCGUUGUCCGGAAUUAUUGGGCGUAAAGAGCUCGUAGGCGGCUUGUCACGUCGGAUGUGAAAGCCCGGGGCUUAACCCCGGGUCUGCAUUCGAUACGGGCAGGCUAGAGUUCGGUAGGGGAGAUCGGAAUUCCUGGUGUAGCGGUGAAAUGCGCAGAUAUCAGGAGGAACACCGGUGGCGAAGGCGGAUCUCUGGGCCGAUACUGACGCUGAGGAGCGAAAGCGUGGGGAGCGAACAGGAUUAGAUACCCUGGUAGUCCACGCCGUAAACGUUGGGAACUAGGUGUGGGCGACAUUCCACGUCGUCCGUGCCGCAGGCAUUCACGGAGAGUUUGAUCCUGGCUCAGGACGAACGCUGGCGGCGUGCUUAACACAUGCAAGUCGAACGAUGAACCUCCUUCGGGAGGGGAUUAGUGGCGAACGGGUGAGUAACACGUGGGCAAUCUGCCCUUCACUCUGGGACAAGCCCUGGAAACGGGGUCUAAUACCGGAUAUGACACGGGGUCGCAUGAUCUCCGUGUGGAAAGCUCCGGCGGUGAAGGAUGAGCCCGCGGCCUAUCAGCUUGUUGGUGAGGUAGUGGCUCACCAAGGCGACGACGGGUAGCCGGCCUGAGAGGGCGACCGGCCACACUGGGACUGAGACACGGCCCAGACUCCU